UACGUAGGGGGCAAGCGUUGUCCGGAAUCAUUGGGCGUAAAGAGCGUGUAGGCGGCCCGGUAAGUCCGCUGUGAAAGUCGAGGGCUCAACCCUCGAAUGCCGGCGGAUACUGUCGGGCUAGAGUCCGGAAGAGGCGAGUGGAAUUCCUGGUGGUAGCGGUGAAAUGCGCAGAUAUCAGGAGGAACACCGAUGGCGAAGGCAGUUCUCUGGGCCGAAACUGACGCUGAGGAGCGAAAGCGUGGGGAGCAAACAGG
rnacentral:rRNA from 1 species